rnacentral:rRNA from 1 species
CCCUUAGAGUUUGAUCCUGGCUCAGAUUGAACGCUGGCGGCAGGCCUAACACAUGCAAGUCGAGCGGUAGAGAGGUGCUUGCACCUCUUGAGAGCGGCGGACGGGUGAGUAAUGCCUAGGAAUCUGCCUGGUAGUGGGGGAUAACGCUCGGAAACGGACGCUAAUACCGCAUACGUCCUACGGGAGAAAGCAGGGGACCUUCGGGCCUUGCGCUAUCAGAUGAGCCUAGGUCGGAUUAGCUAGUUGGUGGGGUAAUGGCUCACCAAGGCGACGAUCCGUAACUGGUCUGAGAGGAUGAUCAGUCACACUGGAACUGAGACACGGUCCAGACUCCUACGGGAGGCAGCAGUGGGGAAUAUUGGACAAUGGGCGAAAGCCUGAUCCAGCCAUGCCGCGUGUGUGAAGAAGGUCUUCGGAUUGUAAAGCACUUUAAGUUGGGAGGAAGGGCAUUAACCUAAUACGUUAGUGUUUUGACGUUACCGACAGAAUAAGCACCGGCUAACUCUGUGCCAGCAGCCGCGGUAAUACAGAGGGUGCAAGCGUUAAUCGGAAUUACUGGGCGUAAAGCGCGCGUAGGUGGUUCGUUAAGUUGGAUGUGAAAGCCCCGGGCUCAACCUGGGAACUGCAUUCAAAACUGUCGAGCUAGAGUAUGGUAGA